rnacentral:lncRNA from 1 species
AUUGCUGUUCUUUGUUUUCGUAUUUGCCACUUUCUUUUAACAAAAGCAAUUGUUUUAUUUAUAUGAGUUGAAUCAUUAUAUUUUAUUACAUUCACCUCCAUUUUCUUAAUAGCUAGAUAUUUGUAAUCAUAGCAAAAAUUGUUUGAAUGCAUCUUUCAAUACUCGCUUAGCUGAACCAUGAAAUCAGCAUGUUGGUAAAUGAGGAUAUGCGGAAAAAUGGCAAGAUCACUUGAAGAACUACAACUUUAAUUCGGGUGUUAGUAUGUUUUUGGUCUACAGUUCGAUCUCUUUCCAACCCGACGAAGAAGAAUGACACGAUCGCAAUUAAGUUAUCAGAGAACCCCAUUUCUGACCUUGAAGGGCAACUCAUUAAGCACCCGAGAGUGAAAUAGUGAAACGAAGAGUUGUUCGCAAACUUCACAACCAUCCAGUCAUGGACAUACCACAGCCAUUCGCCUGUGGUUAUACCCAUUUUAAAACCCCGGGAAAAAAGCGACGGAAGGACUAUCACACAGGCCUAUAUCCUUUCUAUCACCAGUCGCAAAGACUGUUAUGGCAUCCUCCCCCAGCUGUCCAGUCGCUCGUCACCAGCAUGUUUUCCGCAAAUGCACAGCACCACCACAACAUAAACCGGCAUUUGCCAUUCAAUUCUCAUAAGGCUUAAAUCGGCGAAAGCCUUUCGAUACGAUUAUAAAUAUCCAGCCAUUAAGAAAAUGGAGGUGAACAGCACGAAGAGAUAGGUCAUAAAUUAUCGGAGUAUUUAUUAGUUUAGAGACAGACGCUCCUAGCCUCGUAAUGUUAAACAAGACGCACCUCAAGAUUUUGUCACUUUUCUUUAACUUCUACCUCUCUAAACUCCCCGAACAAGGCGUGGUCAUGGUUUCAUAUGCAGACGAUUGUACAGCAUUGAUGAAUUGUACAAUCUGGUGUAACCCCACGGAACACAUCAGAUCUCUACUGCACGUAACCUGUUAUAAUCACCAGCGAAGUCGUCAAUAACACCUGGGCGAAAGAAGAAAACUUAACCGUGGUCGAUGUUGAAAUUUGAUAGCCUAUUUAUGAACUUCCAUAGCUUAGCCGGCAGCACUUGGGUUGGAUACUCCCCCGAGGCAUGUCAGAAGGAUCUUCGUAUACGGCAUUCAUUGUGACGCCAUUAAUUACGCGAUAGGGUGAUGUUCCCAGAGAAGCAAUACAAUGACAGUUGUCAUCAGAGAAGUCAUGGAUACUCCCCCGAGGCAUGUCAGAAGGAUCUUCGUAUUCAACAUUCAUAGAGACGCCAUUAAUUACGCGGUAGCAGUAUAAAGCAUGAAUGUCGUACUUGUAGGUCGCCUAUAGCACCACAGAAGAAAAUAUUUUUGGACCUGGACAUUGAUGUAUAACCCCCAACUAGAUUAUUUUAGCUGUUACAACAGCUGAAUUACAUGUGUCGACAUAAUUUUUUUAUGCGAUUUACACAAUCUGUACGAAAUUCAGUUUGAAUUACCAACGAAUAAUGUCAUAACGAACUGAAUUUGACACUAAUUCACUUUCAGCAAAUUUUGAGAACAAUUUUUAUGGAACCAUCGUAUACAAUAUAUAGAAUAUUUCUAUACAAUUUAAAUUUAACCCUCGUAUUUAAAUUGCACAUUUCUGUUGAAAAAAAUGUCUCGCCGUUUCCGACUUAUCUAGGUAAAAUGUCAUUUCAUUGGCCUUAGUAUGUGUAUUAAACCGAUAAUAUUUUUUUAUAUUGCCAAACUUGUGGUUUUUUUAUUCUUUGUUUCUUAAUUUCAAAUAAUCAAAUAUACUAUAUAAAUAU